UGGGGAAUCUUGCGCAAUGGGCGAAAGCCUGACGCAGCCAUGCCGCGUGAAUGAUGAAGGUCUUAGGAUUGUAAAAUUCUUUCACCGGGGACGAUAAUGACGGUACCCGGAGAAGAAGCCCCGGCUAACUUCGUGCCAGCAGCCGCGGUAAUACGAAGGGGGCUAGCGUUGCUCGGAAUUACUGGGCGUAAAGGGCGCGUAGGCGGAUCGUUAAGUCAGAGGUGAAAUCCCGGAGCUCAACUUCGGAACUGCCUUUGAUACUGGCGAUCUUGAGUGUGAGAGAGGUAUGUGGAACUCCGAGUGUAGAGGUGAAAUUCGUAGAUAUUCGGAAGAACACCAGUGGCGAAGGCGACAUACUGGCUCAUUACUGACGCUGAGGCGCGAAAGCGUGGGGAGCAAACAGG
rnacentral:rRNA from 2 species